rnacentral:lncRNA from 1 species
CCUCCCAAUUCCAGGCUUGGCUCCCUAUGCAUUGAGCCUCCUAGAUGUUUGAGCUUUCUACUCCCCCUCUGCCCUUCAGCAACCAGAAAGACUCUGUCAGUUUAGAAUUCAGUGAGGCAAAUUGUAGGUAAAAGUUUGCUAUUGUUGUAAUAGAAUAUUUUUGUGAGAUGAGAGGCAAUAUGAUAUAGUGGAUAGAAAUGAAAAGGAAAAGAACAAACAGAUUCAUUAAUCACUUACUAUGUUCCAGGUACUCUGAAAAGUCUUUUUACAAAUGUCUCAUUUGAUCCUCACAACCAUCCUGGGAGCUUAUGGGCCCAUGGAAGAAACUAUCAAGUGUUUGUGGACCCCAGAUGAAGAAAUCCUGCCCCCAAAGUACUUCAUGG